UGAGGAAUAUUGGUCAAUGGUCGGCAGACUGAACCAGCCAAGUCGCGUGAGGGAAGACGGCCCUACGGGUUGUAAACCUCUUUUGUCGGAGAGUAAAGUACGCUACGCGUAGCGUAUUGCAAGUAUCCGAAGAAAAAGCAUCGGCUAACUCCGUGCCAGCAGCCGCGGUAAUACGGAGGAUGCGAGCGUUAUCCGGAUUUAUUGGGUUUAAAGGGUGCGUAGGCGGCACGCCAAGUCAGCGGUGAAAUUUCCGGGCUCAACCCGGAAUGUGCCGUUGAAACUGGCGAGCUAGAGUGCACAAGAGGCAGGCGGAAUGCGUGGUGUAGCGGUGAAAUGCAUAGAUAUCACGCAGAACCCCGAUUGCGAAGGCAGCCUGCUAGGGUGCGACAGACGCUGAGGCACGAAAGCGUGGGUAUCGAACAGGAUUAGAUACCCUGGUAGUCCACGCAGUAAACGAUGAAUACUAACUGUUUGCGAUACAAUGUAAGCGGUACAGCGAAAGCGUUAAGUAUUCCACCUGGGGAGUACGCCGGCAACGGUGAAACUCAAAGGAAUUGACGGGGGCCCGCACAAGCGGAGGAACAUGUGGUUUAAUUCGAUGAUACGCGAGGAACCUUACCCGGGCUCAAACGCAGGGGGAAUGCCGGUGAAAGUCGGCAGCUAGUAAUAGUCACCUGCGAGGUGCUGCAUGGUUGUCGUCAGCUCGUGCCGUGAGGUGUCGGCUUAAGUGCCAUAACGAGCGCAACCCCUAUUGACAGUUACUAACGGGUCAAGCCGAGGACUCUGUCGAGACUGCCGGCGCAAGCCGCGAGGAAGGUGGGGAUGACGUCAAAUCAGCACGGCCCUUACGUCCGGGGCGACACACGUGUUACAAUGGCAGGUACAGAAGGCAGCCAGUCAGCAAUGACGCGCGAAUCCCGAAAACCUGUCUCAGUUCGGAUUGGAGUCUGCAACCCGACUCCAUGAAGCUGGAUUCGCUAGUAAUCGCGCAUCAGCCAUGGCGCGGUGAAUACGUUCCC
rnacentral:rRNA from 1 species